GACGAACGCUGGCGGCGUGCUUAACACAUGCAAGUCGAGCGGUAAGGCCCUUUCGGGGGUACACGAGCGGCGAACGGGUGAGUAACACGUGGGUGACCUGCCCUCAGCUCUGGGAUAAGCCUGGGAAACCGGGUCUAAUACUGGAUAUGACUCCAUGACGCAUGUUGUGGGGUGGAAAGCCUUGUGCGGCUGAGGAUGGGCCCGCGGCCUAUCAGCUUGUUGGUGGGGUGANGGCCUACCGAGGCGACGACGGGUAGCCGGCCUGAGAGGGCGACCGGCCACACUGGGACUGAGACACGGCCCAGACUCCUACGGGAGGCAGCAGUGGGGAAUCUUGCGCAAUGGGCGAAAGCCUGACGCAGCGACGCCGCGUGAGGGAUGACGGCCU
rnacentral:rRNA from 1 species